UAUCUCAGUUGGUAGAGUGCUUGCCUCACAUGCACAAGGCCCUGGGUUCAAUUCCCAG
rnacentral:tRNA from 1 species